rnacentral:lncRNA from 1 species
UUCUACAUUAAAAAAUUCUAGGAAGAACUUGACUUGACACUACAAUAAAGAAUUAGAUAUUCAAUAACAGAAAGUCAUAAUAAUAAACAAUAUGUCAUUCAAAGGAUUAAGAUGUCAUAACAUUGUCUGAAAUUAUACUUUGGGAGGUAUACUGCGGUGAUGAUGUCAUAAUUUAAAUUUACAUUGUCAUAAGUUAGAAAUAUAAUGUCUGUUGGUACGAGAAUCCAUACUACAUUGAGACAUUGGAAUGGACGGUGAAGUGGGUCUUCUAGGGGUGUGACCUACACAGAAGUCCUGAUCGAAGAUUGCUCUGGUGAGGACCGACCCUCUGACGCUCAAGUUAGUAUUAGAAAAUGCCAUCACAUGACGAUCUGGUAUGUAUGUAGAGAUUUUAAAAAAAAAUUAAUACACAGUGGAAGAGAAUUUUAAAAUUUUUCAACAUCGUUAUAGGACAAUCAUGCAACAUAAUGUAUCAACAUUAUGCUAGAACAAUCUUAUGUCUGAUGAUGUUAAAAUAAAUCUCUAAUUAGAUCUAUUCUAAUGAAGCAUGCAUAAGAGAUCAUAUCUCAACAUAAAGCCAGAUAUCAUCAUAUGUAUAAGAUUAAGAUUUAAAUAAAAAUAAAAAUUUAAUUUUUAUCUUUGCACAGAUAGAUCUUCACCAUGAUCCAAUGAUUCGUGGAUAUCUUUAUGAUCUGUUAAAAUCAUGAUCUGAUAAUCUAUGGAUGUUUUCGAGGUUCUUUUGAAGCCAUACAAGUGUCCGACCUCUACAGAUAUCUAUACGAGGUUGAUCUGAUCAAAAGAUCUUGAUCUCAUCGGAGUGCUAGCUCCCUUACCGAGAUUGCUUCUUGCAUUAUCGAAUCUUUUAUCUCUUUUGAUUCUCUUCUUAAGAGAAUCAAAGAGAUCUAUAGGAGGAUCAAGAAAUCAGAUCUAAUUUGAUUUCUUUUUCCUUUCUCUUCUUAAGAGAAAGAAGAAAUUCUAAAGAAAAAGAACAAAAGAUCCAAUCUCUUUUCUUUUCUUUUUCAUCCAACUCUUAGACUGAUUAUGGAGGAGAAGGAAUCAAGAGAUCAAAUCUCUUUUCUUUUUAUCCAACUCUUGAACAUCUGUAGAAAAGAGGGAGAGAGACAAGGCAUGUCCAACUCUUGGAUAAACAAAGAGAGAGGAAGAGAUCCAUUAACAACCAACUCUUGGUUGUUAGAAAGAAAGGAUGAGGCAUCAAAAUCGCAUGCCUUCUUCUGUUUUGUGCAUGAACUCUUCACGCCAACCACUCCAUAUGCCAUGCCUUAGUCUCUCAAAAUAUUCAUCAUGAGAUAUCUUAUAAGGAGGCACCCUUUUAUAUCUAAAUUCUAGGAUUUGGUUAAGAGCUCACCAAGAGGACUCUUGGUGCUGCCUCCCUUAUUUCAGCGCCAUAAUUUCUCCACACAAAGCCAUAGAAAAAACAUAGUUGGGUGUCCCAUAUUACAUAUGGAAAGGAGAAGAGAAUCCCAGUCCAAUGGGACUCUAGUUUUCUAAUUCCAUUCUAAUCCGAUUUGAAUUCGAUUCGAAUCUAAAUUGAGUCAAACCCAAUUAGGAAUUAAGUCAAAAUUUUAUUUAGACUAGAAAACUUAAAUUAAAUCAAAUCCAAUCAGAUCCAAUCUGAUUUAAUUCAAUCCAUAUUUGAUUAAAUCAAAUAAUUAAUAAUAUUUAUAAAUUAGUCCUCCUAUAACUUAAUACUCUUAGUAAGUCUUUCAUGUAACUUUUACAUGUUAAUCUAAUCAUCAAUCAAAUUGAUAAUCGAAUUCUUUUGCGAUUCAAAAUUGCUAUUCGAUAUUUCGAUCAGUCAGGAUCUCUUUUGUAUAUGAUUUCGUAGAUUCUAUUUUAUCUACUAGUGAGAUAUAUUUUGAUUUCCAUCAAAAUAUCAUUGAAACUUCUUUUAAUAGAUUGAAAUAAUUUUAACUCUGUCCAUCAAGGAUCAUGAUUAUCAAGAUGAUGCUCGAUGAGUCUCACAUUCCAUCAAUGAUAUCUAAUAGUAAGUAGUGACAAUUCAAUAGAAUGGAGAGUAAUGAACCUAUAGAUGUAGUUAUCAUGUAAUUCAGUUCUUUUAUUGUGAGUCUCGACAAGAUGGAGGUUAUGAAAAACUCGUCAAACUCCAUCAUUUAUCAUAUGUAAGAUUGGAUCGCCUUGAAUUCAUUCAUAAAUUUUCAUAAAUUUUUUUUCAAUAUUCACACUUGCUUUGAUCAAAGACUUCUUGAACUCAAUCUCAUGAAUCACAUAGGAUCUUUUCUUUUCUACUAAGAUCGAUAGAUCCCAUCUAAGUGUACACUCUAUUUCUAUAAUGAACCUACUAUAGCCAACAUACACUUCAAGACUCCGUAUGGCUAGAAGAUCGAGUUAUGAUUUAGUCAGACUAUAGCAACUUCAUUGUGAACAGUCGAAGUACUGCAGAUCAAAGAAUCACUC